CCUACGGGUGGCUGCAGUCGAGAAUCUUUGACAAUGGGGGAAACUCUGAUGGUGCGACGCCGCGUGGGGGAAUGAAGUCCUUCGGAUUGUAAACUCCUGUCAUGUGGGAGCAAAUUAAAAAGAUAGUACCACAAGAGGAGUAGACUGCUAACUCUGUGCCAGCAGCCGCUGUAAUACAGAGGUCUCAAGCGUUGUCCGGCAUCACUGGGGUGAAUGCGGGCGUCGGGUGUUUCGUAUGUCGAGAGUGAAAGGCUCGGGUGCAACCCGUGGAGCGCACAGGAUACUGUGAGACUAGAGUGAAGGAGGGGGGAGUGGAAUUCGCGGUGUAGCAGUGAAAUGCGUAGAUAUCGGGAGGAACACUCGUGGCGAAGGCGGGUUCCUGGACUGUAACUGACGCUGAGGCACGAAAGCCAGGGGAGCAAACGGGAUUAGAUACCCUUGUAGUC
rnacentral:rRNA from 1 species